UACGUAGGGCAGCUAAGCGUUGUCCGGAUUUAUUGGGCGUAAAGAGCUCGUAGGCGGCUUGGCAAGUCAGAUGUGAAAACUCCAGGCUCAACCUGGAGACGCCAUUGAUACUGCCAUGGCUUGAGUUCGGUAGGGGACCAUGGAAUUCCUGGUGUAGCGGUGAAAUGCGCAGAUAUCAGGAGGAACACCGAUGGCGAAGGCAGUGGUCUGGGCCGAUACUGACGCUGAGGAGCGAAAGCGUGGGGAGCGAACAGG
rnacentral:rRNA from 1 species